GUGCCAGCAGCCGCGGUAAUACGUAGGGUGCGAGCGUUAAUCGGAAUUACUGGGCGUAAAGCGAGCGCAGGCGGUUCUGUAAGUCAGAUGUGAAAUCCCCGGGCUCAACCUGGGAACUGCGUUUGAAACUACAGGGCUAGAGUAUGGGAGAGGGGGGUAGAAUUCCACGUGUAGCAGUGAAAUGCGUAGAGAUGUGGAGGAAUACCAAUGGCGAAGGCAGCCCCCUGGCCUAAUACUGACGCUCAUGCUCGAAAGCGUGGGGAGCAAACAGGAUUAGAUACCCUGGUAGUCCACGCCCUAAACGAUGUCUACUAGUUGUUGGUGGAGUAAAAUCCAUUAGUAACGCAGCUAACGCGUGAAGUAGACCGCCUGGGGAGUACGGUCGCAAGAUUAAA
rnacentral:rRNA from 1 species